GACUACUAUGCGGAGGACAUUAUCGAGUUUUGACGGGUUGUAGCUGGCCUCUCACGAGGCAUGUGCACGCCUGGCUCAUCCACUCUUAACCUCUGUGCACUUUAUGUAAGAGAAAAAAAUGGUGGAAGCUUCCAGGAUCUCGCGAGAGGUCUUUGGUUGAACAAGCCGUUUUUCUUUCUUAUGUUUUACUACAAACGCUUCAGUUAUAGAAUGUCAACUGUGUAUAACACAUUUAUAUACAACUUUCAGCAACGGAUCUCUUGGCUCUCGCAUCGAUGAAGAACGCAGCGAAAUGCGAUAAGUAAUGUGAAUUGCAGAAUUCAGUGAAUCAUCGAAUCUUUGAACGCACCUUGCACUCCUUGGUAUUCCGAGGAGUAUGCCUGUUUGAGUCUCAUGGUAUUCUCAACCCCUAAAUUUUUGUAAUGAAGGUUUAGCGGGCUUGGACUUGGAGGUUGUGUCGGCCCUUGUCGGUCGACUCCUCUGAAAUGCAUUAGCGUGAAUCUUACGGAUCGCCUUCAGUGUGAUAAUUAUCUGCGCUGUGGUGUUGAAGUAUUUAUGGUGUUCAUGCUUCGAACCGUCUCCUUGCCGAGACAAUCAUUUGACAAUCUGAGCUCAAAUCAGGUAGGACUACCCGCUGAACUUAAGCUAUCAAAAACGGGAAGAAAAAAGG
rnacentral:rRNA from 1 species